rnacentral:rRNA from 1 species
UACGGAGGGGGCUAGCGUUGUUCGGAAUUAUUGGGCGUAAAGAGCUCGUAGGCGGUUUGUCGCGUCUGCCGUGAAAGUCCGGGGCUUAACCCCGGAUCUGCGGUGGGUACGGGCAGACUAGAGUGCAGUAGGGGAGACUGGAAUUCCUGGUGUAGCGGUGAAAUGCGCAGAUAUCAGGAGGAACACCGAUGGCGAAGGCAGGUCUCUGGGCUGUAACUGACGCUGAGGAGCGAAAGCAUGGGGAGCGAACAGG